UUCACAAAACAGGCAUCAAUUAUCUUUUAAUGGUUUCCCAGGUGAACAAUAUUUCAUGCAAUUAGUCAUCUGCACUAAUUGGUGAAGGCUUAUAAAAUACACGUACCUCCAUAUGCUUGGGUUUGUAGUUUCUGUGGAGUGGGUUGUGAAUGUGAAGUUGUUGUUGAAAAAGUGAGUUAAAUAAAGUUAGUGUUCAUUAUGUUUGAUCAAACAGAGACAGUCUCAAUGUACCACAGCUUCCUUCUGCAGGGAAGAACUGAUUAUGGUGGAUCACCUCAAGACGCCACAAGUCAGUUUGCUCUGGACCUCAAUCCCCCUAGGCAAAUGUAUCCCUAUCCUCUCCCCAAGCUGUCGCUGGUCCUAAUACUGUUCAGAGUUCAUCAAAACUGUUUACUUCAGUAUUUAGAGGCAGCUCUGGGGUUCAAAUUGGAGCUUCUACUGGGUUUGCCCCAGAAAGAGGGAGUAGCCAUUAGUGUUUCUGUCCAGUCUCAAAAUGCUCAAAGUCAGUUUGCCCCGGAUUGAAAUCCUACGCUAGUGUGUCUCUGUCCUCACCAGAAGCUGGUCAAUACUGUUCUGGGUUCUUGGAAGCAGUUUACCUAUACCUUCACAGCCAAACUCUGGCACCCAGACAGGGUCCUCUACUCCCUUCACCCAGAUUGAAAGCACCUCUUCUGAUGGCUCAUCUCUGCCUAAAAAUGCUGCUAGUCAGUUCAUCACCAUAUGCAAGUGUGUCAUCCUAAAGUGUUGCUAGUCAGUUAAGCCAGUCAUAUCAAAGCCAUUCUGUGUCCCAAAGCCAGAAUUCUCCAAGAUGGCAGGCUUAAUCCCAUUAUUGGACCCAAGGUAUUCUUUCCUCUGAUGCUGCUGCUUCACAGGGUAGGUCUUCAUCUCAAAUGUCUCCAAUGCAGCUCUCUUCAAAUGUCUUCCAGAACUGAAACUUCAAUAAGUGUUUUAAGCAAAGCAGUUGUGGUCUUCCCCAGCCCCCUUUUCCCUUAAACCCCAUUAAAUGGCAUAUUUGCUGGUUUAGUUACUGUAACCAAGGGUAUGGUUUAAACUCCUCCCCUACAAACUUUGGUUUAAUUACAAAGGGUUUAAACCAUGGCACUUGCUGUUUGCUUGUCACCUUUUGUACGAGUUGUCUAAUGGUGUGUUAAUGUGACCCUAUUUUUAUUUAUUUUUUUGGGAGGGGGUAUGAAGGUUCCCAUCAAUCAUCGAAUCCAUCAAAGCUACUCAAUUCUUGAGUUUAUUUGCCAUGGAUCCAGAUAAAAGGAUUACAGGUGGCUCAUUUUUCUAUUCAUCCUCGCAUGUCAACAAAUCAAUUUAUUGUGACCAACCAUUUACAUAACUUGCUUGGAGUCAAAUAGUUAUAUAUAUAAUAGUCGUAAUUCAAACCAUUUGGUUGUACAGUGUAAGGAUGAAAAUUCAAAAGUUUCAAUAUUCAAAAACUGUUCUGUGUAAACGUGUGUGUGAAUGUGAGAAAAGGUGUAAUAUUGUGUGUUCAGGUGCCUGUGUGCAGGUCCCUUGCUUUUCAUUAAAAGUGACUACCAACUACUUGCUCCAGUUAGCAACAAUAGAAAUAUUCAUCACACUUCUUACUAUUUGACCAAAUUUUAGGAUUUAUUUUUUUUAAUUGCAAUAUAUUGAUGUAUUGAACUACAGGGGCACUUUUUUUGAUAUUGGUAUAGGUCCAGAUUUGUUGAUAAAAUAUUAGUGAUCUG